rfam:Alligator sinensis unplaced genomic scaffold scaffold210_2, whole genome shotgun sequence
GUGGCUGCAUUAAGUAUCGGUUGCAUUUAUCAGUAAUGUAAUGCAACCUUAAUCAGCCACGUACAGUAAAACAUGGUUCCUGCCGACAGGGUCUGUCAAGUUAUCAGACUUCCUGUGCGAUGGCUCCAUACACU